ensembl:rRNA 5S_rRNA 5S ribosomal RNA
GUCUACAUCCAUACUACCCUGAACAUUCCAGGUCCCAUCUGAUCUUGGAAACUAAUCAGGUCAGUGCUUAGAUGGGAGAAGGCUCUAAGGAACUACAGAAGAACAACUGUAGUUU